GCUCAAUUCAUUUUAAAGAUCAAGUGUUCUUUUCCUUCUACUGAGUUUUUUUUUCUUUCACAUUGUAAUGGACACAUUGUUAUAAAGAUCAACCUUGCCAGAAUUCAUAAGGAGAUUCAAGAAGACUAUUACAUUCAUGAUGUAUUACAGGGCUGCAGACUAUUACAACAGGCUCCCUAAAGAACAAAAAUCCAUCUGUUCGUGUUACGAUGACCUGUCUGAAAAAGGAUCUUUGCAGAAGGAGGAAUUGCAGCUAGCAGGGAUUUGCUGAUAAAUAUGGUUGCAGAGGAAAUGGAAUUGAACUAGGUUUGGGGGUUCACUGAGGACAAAGAUGCAGAAUAUUGGCUCCUUGUACAACACACAUAAGGAGCCGGACCUGCUGGCUGCUUCUGGAAGCCUGCCUUAGCGCCCCCCACGCUGCGUUGCUCAUCAGGAGUCACCAGAGGUCUGACUUUCAUUUCCUUCUGCAUUAACUAAGUGGCACAGGGGUCAAUGUGGCCAGUACCAGAUGCUUCUGAGGAACAGGGCAAUUUCAGGAGAUGUCACACUGCACUGCUCUAUAGCAUAAGAAUUUGGAGGAACCUCUGUGAGAAGAUCUUCAGAGUUUUUCUCCUCUUUGAAUCUUCCUGUAAACUUUGUCAAAGGGAGCAUGAAAUGGAACAUGAUCUAACUCUGAGCUUUAGGAUUGGCACAAUGAGAAUGAGUGAAAUGUUGCUGUAAUAAACAAAACAGCAAGGGAGCCCUUUAAAAUACAUAAGAAUAUGUAAAGUACCCACUAACAUAAGUACAGCAAAGCUAGAGCUAAUUAAGGGGCCUGCAUCAAAUAUUUUGACUUUCAUAAAUGUAUCGUCUGUUGAAUAUAGUUCUUUAAACAGUCCAUUUUUGUUACAAUAUAUGUGUCCUCAUUAAAUAUAAUCCUUAAAGUA